rnacentral:lncRNA from 1 species
AUAAAACCAAUUCAUCUCCAAAUCACGGAAAAAAAGUUCCAAACUAGUCACUUGACUACAAUUCGAAGGACUAAUUUUGACUCAAAUCAAAAGAAUGACAAAUGGAGCAACUCUAAGAGUUUUUAAAAGAAACUAAAUAAACAUAACAAAUCAAUAGUUCUCUUGCCACGCGAAGCAAUGCGGGGCUCACCAGAUGCUACCAACUCACACGCUAGUUAAUGAAAUCCUCUUCAAUACCACUUGAAUUCUCU